rnacentral:rRNA from 1 species
GGCGUGGGGUGCUAAUACAUGCAAGUCGAGCGGACAGAUGGGAGCUUGCUCCCUGAUGUUAGCGGCGGACGGGUGAGUAACACGUGGGUAACCUGCCUGUAAGACUGGGAUAACUCCGGGAAACCGGGGCUAAUACCGGAUGGUUGUUUGAACCGCAUGGUUCAAACAUAAAAGGUGGCUUCGGCUACCACUUACAGAUGGACCCGCGGCGCAUUAGCUAGUUGGUGAGGUAACGGCUCACCAAGGCAACGAUGCGUAGCCGACCUGAGAGGGUGAUCGGCCACACUGGGACUGAGACACGGCCCAGACUCCUACGGGAGGCAGCAGUAGGGAAUCUUCCGCAAUGGACGAAAGUCUGACGGAGCAACGCCGCGUGAGUGAUGAAGGUUUUCGGAUCGUAAAGCUCUGUUGUUAGGGAAGAACAAGUACCGUUCGAAUAGGGCGGUACCUUGACGGUACCUAACCAGAAAGCCACGGCUAACUACGUGCCAGCAGCCGCGGUAAUACGUAGGUGGCAAGCGUUGUCCGGAAUUAUUGGGCGUAAAGGGCUCGCAGGCGGUUUCUUAAGUCUGAUGUGAAAGCCCCCGGCUCAACCGGGGAGGGUCAUUGGAAACUGGGGAACUUGAGUGCAGAAGAGGAGAGUGGAAUUCCACGUGUAGCGGUGAAAUGCGUAGAGAUGUGGAGGAACACCAGUGGCGAAGGCGACUCUCUGGUCUGUAACUGACGCUGAGGAGC